rnacentral:lncRNA from 1 species
GUCCCUCUGUGCCUAUGUCCCAUGUCCAUGGUAAACAAUCUGCCACAGCAGGUCACAGCUCUAAUUCCCAACCACUCCAGUUUGUCACAGUACUUUUUGAUGAUCCACGACUGUACUUCAGAAUCCUAAUCACAUUGCCCAGCAAGAACUAAAUGACUACUAAUGAGUUGGAGCUGACAAGCAGGAUGGAGCUCGAGUGCCAAGGCGGGUCAACACCUUCCUGCUCUACUUGACUUAAGGAAAAUAGCUUCCCUCACUUACGCUGACUGUCCUUGUACAUGCAGAUGACACUAAUGAGCCACUGUAAGUAGUGCAACUACGCUGAGCAGCUUAUCCAAAGGGCUAAGCGCACCCCAGCCUGAAGAGCACUGAACUCGACCUGAAACUCUACGAGUUUUCUUGGAAGCAGUUGCAUUCCAACCCCAGGAUGUACUCUCGAUCCUGAACAUGUGGAACAGUCACCCUAAUCACAUCUGUGGGACGGC